UUUUGUUUCUCUCUAUGUUAGGGCUUCAUCUCCUUUUUCUCUGUCUUUGUUGUCUCCGAAGUUAAAUCUGAAAUAGGAGUUAAAAAUAUUGGGUAUGUCUUGUUUGUGCAUAAAUCUGUCUUUUUUUGCUUAUUAUUGCUAAAAUCUGGUUUGUACUAUUUUCUUUGUGCUAAAAUCGAAGUUGGAUGUCUUGAAAUCUGCUGGGUUUUUAAUUUCUUUGAAGGUUAAAGUGUUGGGAAUCUCUAUUUGGGCCAUAAAUCUACUGAAAAUUGAAAUACGAUCUUUGCUUGUGCUAAACCUUGUUGUGUAAUACUAUUUGAGCUUAAAGUUUGUUUUAAUCUGUUGCAUGCUUGAAGAACUCAACAUUCUUCAUAUUCUGUUAUAGAUCCGGAGGCAAGCAUCUUGAUGCUUUUACAGUUGGAUGUGUCCUUAAUUAAUUGCCUUUCAAAAGCUUUCACUCAGUUAUGCGCAAACUGUUAGGCAAUACUAAUUACUCUCAAAUCUGCAUCUUUACUAUUGUGCAUAGCAUUUAUCUAACAAAAAAGUAAAACUCGCUGAAAUCUAUUGAGGAAGUUAAAUAACUUUUGUUUGUUAUGAAAAUUUAUUCAAACAUGUGGGCAUUUUAUGCUAUCCUGCGUUAUUGUUACGUAGAAAUAGAAUCCUGCUUAGUUGCUUCAGCGACGAGUUUUAGCCUUCUCUUUGCUUUAAUAGGAGCUCUAGUGGACAUGGGCAGAGAGCAAGCAGAGCGUAUCAUUCGUAAUGGGAAUAAAGGUACCACUAAUUUGCCUCUUUGUUGGACUGCUGGCACAGAAAAAUCGGUCUCUGACCAGAACCAAGAACCAAUUGGAAUCUGAAUCUUGACAGGUCAGUGGUUUUUAUAUACUUUAGAUACCAAAUGAGAGAUUUGUUGAAUAUGCUUCGUUCUCAAUUUCAAGUUCUAAUAUUUAUUUAUAAAUGUCAUUUCCUAUUUACUAUAAUGGCAGCCUUACUUUUGUACAGUAUUUUGCUCAUACUUUUUGUAAGGCUUAUGGUUAUCUACGUUCAUAAGAAAAAAAAAAUGUAGAACCAGUUUGUCUUUGUUCCAGAAAAUAUAAUGUAAACAUAUUUUGGCUUUGACAUGGAUAUCCAGUUGAAAUGAACUUUUAGCACUUGAAGAUUAUCAGCAUUCCAGUUUAACUUUGUUAGUUUGGUUGUGAGUAGACUGUAAAUUUGACCUUUCUUUUCUCUUAGUUGUUAACACAGAAAGCUAUAUAUGUGAAGUAUUUUGUUCUUCUUUGGUUUUCUAAAGCCAUCUACGUACUGUUCUGCAUGUUUCAAGCUAUUGUAAUUACACUUAAGAAUCAUAGAACAUCAUAUUGCUAUAUUUGGGAUAAAUUUAACUGCUCUUCUUUUUGUAAUUAAAUGGUCAGAAAAGUGAACUAGAAAGUAGAAAUGUAGAAUAGUAUCGCUUGAAUUUGUCAAAGUAAACUUUUCGCUAGGAGUCUUCAUGCAACAUCCUGAAGUGACUUGUUUUUCUACUUAUUAUUAAGAGGUAUACUUCCAAUAGUAGAAGAUAGGGGACUAUAAAAAAUUGAGGAAGCAUGCCAAAGUCUGCAGGAUGAUCAAAAUUCUUUUGAGAUCAAACAAACUUAAAAGCUUAAGAUGAUUUUUUGUUACAUUUGAUAAGGCUGCGUACAAUAGACCCUUGUGGUCCGGCUCUUCCCCCGACCCCACACAUAGCUGGAGCUUAGUGCACCGAGCUUCCCUUUUUCCUUUGAUAAAUAAUAUACUUCAAUAUGGAUUUUGAAAUUUUGGUGUCAUUAUCAUAGCUCUUUUGCUGCUUUUUCAUCUAAAAGACCCUUCGUCUAGAUUUUCCUUUUUGAAAAUAUUUUCUUCUGUUGUAAAACCUUGCUUCCAACUGGCCCCUCAGCCUUGAGGUUUAGUCCUAAGCAUGUGCUUAAAAGGAUGCUUGGUUACCAUCCGGACAAGAAGGUUGGUAAUCUUUCAUAUUUUGCAUAUGAAUGAAAGGAAGCUUGCUGACAUUUCCUGCAUAUCAACAGUCAUUUUGCAGGACAAUAAAGUAUUUAAUUUACUAUAGCUUGCUGGCUUUUUGUCUUGUACAUAGAUGUUCCAGUGACCUCUAUAGUCACGGAACAAAGGUGAGCACUUCACCUAACUUGAUUGCAGUUUUGCAAGUUCAAGUAAUGCUUCUUUGACAACAUAAUGUCUUCUUCAGCUGGAUUGUCGGUACACCAUGCUGCUCGCUGAUUCACCUGUCGUCUCUCAAUCAUCUUAACCAAUGGCAGGUGAAAAGAGGGGUAAGAAAACGAAGAAGGCUAACGAGACAGCGGUUCCCCGGAGACCACCAGAAAACCUUGCGAUUAGAAUGUUUGAAUGUUAAUGUUUGGUGGAUUUGUGGAUUUGCGAGGGUGAAGUAGUCUAAUGUUGUAGACUAACUUAGUGUAGACUAGUUUAAUGUUUUGUGGAUGUUUACAAAUGUUGAAGUAGUUUAAUGUUGUUUUGAUGUUUGCGAAGGUUGAAGUAGCUUAAUUAAUGUCUCUUGUGAAUGUUUGAUUGACGUUUUUAUUCAACUUUGAAGUAGUUUCGAAUUGAAUUAGAUGUUUUGGUGGUUGUAAUAUAUGUGUUGUAAUAGUAGCUUAUUGUUUUAUGUAUUUAUAGUAGUUUGGUGUAUUGUUGGCAGCUA